AUAGGAUUCCAUCAUGCGAUGUGUCUCCCAUUUAAAUUCUGUCUCAAAGUUUUCAUGUAAGACAUCAUUAUUAUUAGUCCACUAGAAAUUGCUUUUUUUCCCUUAAAAAGGAAAGUUCUAGUUCACCAAGGAAGGCAAAUUCUUGUUCAUCAAGGAAAAGGCAUCAUCACCUCAUGAGUUCUAUAAAAAGAGCAUGGGGUGGAUCUCAAACACAUGAAGAAUACGAACUUGCAGCUCUCUAACCAUUGCAGAAGAUACACAAAGCUCUUCGCAUUUGUAUUCGCUUUUCUCUUGCAUCUUUUUCAUUUUUUGGUUCUCCUUCACACUGUUUUUUUUUCCAGGAAACCGAUGGCAUCAGCAAAGAAAUUUCAGAUUGGCAAACCUUGUGCAACUGUUUUGAUACUAAACUUGGCCAUAGUUUGAAGUUUCGUGUCGUUGGCACUAUUACCUAUCACGCCGAUCCGAAACUUUGAGUCACUAGUACCUUUACUUAUAGUGACGAGUUGAAAUCUCAUGCCAUUGACACUGCUACCCGUUGGCUGCUGCUGAAUUAAAGCUCCGUUUCAUUGACACCAAUCAAUUUAAUAGAACCAAAAGCUUUGUGUCGUUGGCACCAAGGGCUCCAAAAUCUUUUCUCUUUAGCUGUGGAAGCUAUUUGGGAUAUCCAUCUUUGCACAUCUGUGGACAAUACCACCAUAUCUUGUCGUAGGAGAAUUAGAAAUACAAGUUGUUUGAUCCUUUUGAAACUACACUUCAAUGUAUCAAAAUUUUGGGGCAAAAUUCCUUUGUAGCUUCUCAGGUAAUAUUUUGAGUUUUCCUUUCAGGUGCUAACGCGUUUGACCUUUAAGAUUGGCGCGCCUUCACAAAAAAGUUCAUAACCUGGUCUACGAGCUUCCAAAUUAUGGUCUGCUUGAAUCUACUAAUGCUAGAUUCAGAGGAAUACAACAUAUCAAAAUUUCACCAACAAAUAGCUUCUGUAUAGGAUGGAAUUCAUUUUUGAAAUUGAUCAACGCAUCUGCCAUGCUGAUCUCACUGACAUGCUGGCUUCUUCAGCUUUGCCUGCUCUCUAAAAUUGCAUAUCUCGAGAUAGGAGCAUCCAAAUUACGAGCUGUUUGCACCAUUGGGAAGAAGACUCGGAGGGCUACAACAUACAUAAACCUCGAAACUCCAACCUUUUUGACCCAGUCGCAACAAAUCUCUGAAGCUGAAAUCGAGAAGAUUGUUUGGGCAGCAUACUUCUAUUUCCUUUUUUUGGAAAGCUUCAGCCAGUGACAUCUUAGGGGAAUCCACCUUCACCUUCAUGAUGACGGCCCAUCCUCCAUUUUUGUGGAUUUAGCAAAAAACAACUUGGCAUAUCCACCUUCUAGUUCGAGGCUUUAGUGGACAACAAUUUGGCAUAUCCAUCCUUCAGGUUCAAGGCUUUGACGGACAAUAAUUUGGCAUAUCCACCUUCAGGUUCGAGGCUUUAGCGGACAACAAUUUGGAAUAUCCAUCUUUAUGGUUUGAGGCUUUGGUGGACGAGAAUUUGGCAUAUCCACCCUUCGGUUCGAGGAUUUGGCGGACAACAAUUAGGCGUAUCCACCUUUCCAAUCAAGCUUUUGGUGAACAAUCUCUUGGGCAUCCGCCUUCACCUUCAUGAUGACGGCACAUCCUCCAGCUUUGCCUCAGAAAGGAGGUUCAUGGUGUCUGCUUCUUACAGUUUGGUGAAGACAUACAUGACGAGUUCUCCAUUCCAAAUCAGACGAAGAAGUAUAUAAUCACUACUCUCUUUUUUAGGAAAAGAGGUGCAUGGAGCAUCCCAUCCAUCGAGCCUUGGAGGGAACGAUCUUUUUUGCAACUUAGCGAAAAAGUUAUUCUCCGUCCCAGCUUUAGCAAAGAAUGUGGGGCUCAUUUUGAAGAAAAAUAAAAAGAAGAAAAAUGGAAGAGGAGGUGCCUAACUUUGUUGAAAAAUUAUAUGACUAAAUCCAUCUUCUUUGUAGUAGUUGGAUGGAAACUCUUACUAUAAAUAGAGACAUCCAUUCUUCAUUUUCAAUACACCAAAAUAAGAGAGAAACACUAGAAGUUAGAGAGAGUAAUCCACAUAUUGUAGUUUGUGAGAUAAAUAGUGAGUGUGAGUAAUAUUGUAGUGAGAUAUUUUCAAUAAAUAGUGUUAUUUCUUUCGAAA